AAAGAUACUGCACUGUUUCUGGUGGGGACUGCGAAAUUUGAGUUCUUUGGGUCAAAACCUUCAAGCCAGCACCAAUUUCUGGGAAAACUGCUUUACGAUUUUUAUUUCGAUCUCUGGCUUGCUAUUCUUUUUGUAUUUCAUUGGUAAUGUGCAGUUUUUGUGAGUGGCAGACAUAUAUGCAGUUGACAACUGAAAGGUCCGAGGAAGUUAUACAAAAGAUGAAAAUUAAAGAACGAGACAUAGACUUGUGGAUAGAGAGAAACAGGCUCGAUGAUAAUUUAAGAAGGCAGAUCAAGCCCAACAUACAGCGGAUUUUUGAACAAAAUAUGGAUGUUGAUGCGCAGAAUCCGCUCCCUCAUCUUCCCAUAGAGCUUAUAAAAGAUAUUAAAUGCUAUCUUUGCU